UACAGAGGGGGCAAGCGUUGUUCGGAAUUACUGGGCGUAAAGGGCGCGUAGGCGGCCGACUAAGUCAGACGUGAAAUUCCCAGGCUCAACCUGGGAACUGCGUCUGAUACUGGACGGCUCGAGUUCGGGAGAGGGAAGUGGAAUUCCAGGUGUAGCGGUGAAAUGCGUAGAUAUCUGGAGGAACACCGGUGGCGAAGGCGGCUUCCUGGACCGACACUGACGCUGAGGCGCGAAAGCCAGGGGAGCAAACGGG
rnacentral:rRNA from 1 species